GAUGAACGCUGGCGGCGUGCCUAAUACAUGCAAGUCGAGCGAACAGACGAGGAGCUUGCUCCUCUGACGUUAGCGGCGGACGGGUGAGUAACACGUGGAUAACCUACCUAUAAGACUGGGAUAACUUCGGGAAACCGGAGCUAAUACCGGAUAAUAUAUUGAACCGCAUGGUUCAAUAGUGAAAGACGGUUUUGCUGUCACUUAUAGAUGGAUCCGCGCCGCAUUAGCUAGUUGGUAAGGUAACGGCUUACCAAGGCAACGAUGCGUAGCCGACCUGAGAGGGUGAUCGGCCACACUGGAACAGAGACACGGUCCAGACUCCUACGGGAGGAAGCAGUAGGGAAUCUUCCGAAAGGGGCGAAAGCCUGACGGAGCAACGCCGCGGGAGGGAUGAAGGUCCUCGGAUCGUAAAACUAUGUUAUUAGGGAAGAACAAAUGUGUAAGUAACUAUGAACGUCUUGACGGUACCUAAUCAGAAAGCCACGGCUAACUACGUG
rnacentral:rRNA from 1 species